GGAAUCUGCCUGAUAGUGGGGGACAACGUUUCGAAAGGAACGCUAAUACCGCAUACGUCCUACGGGAGAAAGCAGGGGACCUUCGGGCCUUGCGCUAUCAGAUGAGCCUAGGUCGGAUUAGCUAGUUGGUGAGGUAACGGCUCACCAAGGCGACGAUCCGUAACUGGUCUGAGAGGAUGAUCAGUCACACUGGAACUGAGACACGGUCCAGACUCCUACGGGAGGCAGCAGUGGGGAAUAUUGGACAAUGGGCGAAAGCCUGAUCCAGCCAUGCCGCGUGUGUGAAGAAGGUCUUCGGAUUGUAAAGCACUUUAAGUUGGGAGGAAGGGCAUUAACCUAAUACGUUAGUGUUUUGACGUUACCGACAGAAUAAGCACCGGCUAACUUCGUGCCAGCA
rnacentral:rRNA from 1 species